UACGUACUCCACAAGUGGUAUCCACUAAUAUUGGGCUUAAAGCGUUUGUAGCCGGUUUUGUUAGUCCUUGGUGAAAGCAAACAGCUUAACUGUUUGAAUUGCCAAGGAAACUGCAAGGCUCGAGGACGGGAGACGUCAAGGGAACUCCUGGGGUAACGGUGAAAUGUUGUGAUCCCAGGAAGACCACCAGUAGCGAAGGCGCUUGACGAGAACGUUCCUGACGGUGAGAGACGAAAGCUGGGGGA
rnacentral:rRNA from 1 species